GAGCCCCGCCCUUUAGUUCUAGCUCAGCCCCUGGGCGUGAUAGAACGCUGGUCUAGCUGAGCGCAAGUCUAGGCAGGCUUACGCGGGAGUAAGCCCCAAGGCAUUAAAUAGGGCGCACUCGUCAUGACGCUCUGACUGCGGCCGUACGUUGACUUGUUACUAGUAGGGCGGCCUUCUGUAGGCUUCCUGGGCAGUAGUAGUCAGUCCCGCUUCGAAAGGCAGCCUUAAUCGAAUUCUGCGUUAUAUGCGGGAUACAUGGCGUUUAAUUUAUCCUCCAACGUAGACUAACGCUAUUCACGGAUGGCUUUCCUGAGGUUAAAAAUGGCUUUUCUUUUUACUCAGGACUGCAAAUGAAUGCGAAUGUAUCAAUCAGUUAUUCAGGAAAAGGUUAGAACCCUCUUGGAAUGACUUAAAACGUGUACUUGCUUUGUGUGAUGACCAGAGAAGAAGGGCACUUGCCCUUCAAAGUGGGUAGAAGAGGCUGCCUGUGUGGUAGAACUUUAUUCAUUAACUAGUAGACAUGAAGCCCGUUACAUUAACGGGGGCUAGAAGAGUUGUGUAGAAACGUUUGCAAGAACAGUCUUUCUUCAAGGGCAAGGUGGGACUGGGUGGGCCGAGUCGCGCUGUGUCUCCAGAGCCAUGAGCGCAUCUCCACCGGGUUCGGCCUGCCAUGUGGGGCUCCACCCUGCUUCUCCCCUUCUGACCCCCACCGGCCUUGGAGUACAAACCAUUUCCUCCUCCACCUUCAGGCCUGAACCUCGACCCCAGAACCUGUCUCCUUUGUGGGCUGCAGCUCAGCUUCUGUGUGGCUUUUAUGAUGGCUCACAAGAGCGGGUGCUGAGCCCGGUGGCGGGCAGUGGCGAGGCAGUGUUGGAGGUGCUGUGCUGCGGGGCUUCGCCCACCACCUGUCUUCCUCCGCCCUUUUCCAUCCCAGCCCUCUGUUCUCCUCCUCGGCUCCCUUCCCACCAUUUUCGGGAGCCCCGUCCUCUCCUUCCCUCGUCCUCCUCUUCCUUUGACCCUCCAAAGGGCAGCGGGGCUUCGCCCACCGCCCGUCCUCCUCCGUCCUCCUCCUCAGCUUCCUCCCUGCCAUUUUCGGGAGCCCCGUCCUCCUCUUCCCUCGUCCUCCGUUUCAGUUGUUGCCUUCGUUCCAGCUGUUACCAGGCAGCAUAUUGGAAUUCUUGCAGAAUCUCAUGAGAGUUCCAGCACGCCACGCAUGCUCAGAACACCCGCAAGAGACACGGACGCAGGAGAGUGUUUAAGAAGAAGCUAUGUAAAUCAAUCCAGAAUUUUCACUCGAGGCACAAAUGACCAGGCUCAAACUAUCAUACUUUGGACACAUUAUGCAAAAACCCAGCUCCCUUGAGAAGUCCAUAAUGCUGGGAAUAGUUGAAGGAAAGAGAAGAAGAGGAUGACCAGCAGCAAGGUGGAUGGGCUUGAUUACAACAGAAAUGAAUGUACCACUGAGAGACCUUAAAGGCCAAGUUGAAGACAGAUCAUCCUGGAGAGAAUCUAUCUACAGUAUGUGGUCGCUAAGAGUUGACACCAACUUGACGGCACUUAAUUAAUCAAUCAAUUAUGUAAUAUAUUCUGUCCGUAUGGAAUAUUUUGUAACAGGAACUUAUUAUAGAUGACAAUAUCUUGGAAUUGGAAGUUUAUCCAGAUAUCAAGACUGAGGGACAUAGUAUCAACCCUGCAUAUAUGGUGUUUUUGUUUUAAACCACAACAAAAAUGACCACAGGUUAUGUUGACUCUAUUUUGAAAACAAACAAACAGCACACUUGGCUGUCAUAUACUUUUCAUUUCAGCUUAAAGAUAAAUGGUAACCUUGCAAUGCAAAACUGCAGUAUCCAAGGUUGCUAUAUUGGGCAGUUAACCUGAGUUUGCUGUCUGCUCUGCAGUAUCUCUGCAGUAACAGCAUCAGGAAUUGCGAAGCGGAGGUUGUAAUGUAGUACAACUCCUGGGAACUAUUGUCAAGAUUUAACGACUCUGCAUUUAUGACUCAAGGACAGGCAUGCAUGGAAUACUAUCUGUGUUACUGCAAUCCUCUCAAGCUAUAUGAUUCCCAAACACAGAUCAGUCCCAAAGUUGGCAGCAGCAGCCAACCUUCCACUUUUAGACUGUCUUUACAAGGUUUGAGAAACUGUUUGGAACCUUCUAGGCAUUCUAAUGUAGAGAUAGAGGGCCAGUUCAGACAAUACUUUCAAUUAGUGAAUAGAUUCCUCUAAAUUGUGUACAAAUGAUCAUUGAAUUAAAAAUCAUACAAUCUUUACCCAUUAUUUGACUAGUCUCUAGGGGUGUGCAUGAACCAUUUGUCUCAAACCGGGCUGGUUUGGUGGCUCAGUCUCAGACUGAACCAGGGGCUGUUUGAUCUGCGAUCAAACCAGAUCAAGCCCAGUUCAGGUAAACUGGUUCAGGUGGGGUAGUGAGAGAGUAGAAAUGUUGUUACUGGGUCAGCACAGCCCCUGUGCUUGCCCCACCAGUUGCAAGCAAUGUUCUGUUUAGGAAGUCACCCAUGAGGCAGCAGCAUGGUCUCAGCCUCCGUGGAUGCGCAGACGCCAUUUGCGUGGCCAUGCAAAUAGCCUCUGCACAUCUGCAGAGGCCAGAACUGCACCACCGCCAUGUGGGCAGCUUUUAAAACAGCAUUGUUAGCACUUGGGGCCACACGGUGGUGGGAGGGAGAGUAGCUGUGCCUGCUGCCACACCAGCCAGGUAAGAACAUUUCUACCUCUCUCGCUGCCCCCACCUGCCCACCCUUUGAGGAUUCCAGGACCCCCAUGCCUUUACUUGUAAAAGGUAAUCCUCACUGGGUUCCCCUUUACAAGUAUUAGCUUCCUGAACUGCUAAACCAGUUCGGUUGCAUGUUCGCCAGCAUGCAGUGACUGAACUGCCAAAUGGGCUCGCACAUUCAGCAGCAUGCGGUUUGACUUGAAUUCAAGCCGAACCACGAUUUUAGGUUCAUGCACACCUCUACUAGUGACCUUAUUGUGAUUAGAUUAUCACUAUGUGGUGUUCCCCCCACCUAACCAUUGGAUUUGAAUUGUAUAUACAACAGAGCCCAGGAUAGGAUAAUUCACUCUACCCACAUUAGUCUGCAUUUGCUUUCCACAUGAUCAUAAAAAACCAUGAUAUACAUCAUCUGAAAUGGCCCAUAAAUUUCUUCACGAAGACUGACAAUGAUCCUGCUUUCUCAUGUGGGAGUGGAUGGACUCCAUUUUUAGAGUGGCGCGCCUCUCUUGUUGUUCAGUGGUAGGAGAGGACUAUUACUGCCCUAGAAUGACUACCCUGAGCAAGGCAAAGAGCUACAUCCCCAAAUGGCAUCCUGGGCAAGAUAUGGCAGGUUGAUGUGCCAUGGACCUCUGCAUUGGGAUGUAUCUGCCAUCAUGGGCAAGGUACAGUGAGGAGGUGAGAAGCUUGGCAUAGGCAUUGUGUUCACAGGCUACAUUCUAACUCUGGCAGGGUUCCAGUACCCAGUUCUAACUGGGCUUUUCCACAUCAUGCUCUGACUGGGGCUGCACAUACAUGGACCUGCAAUUGUUAUUAUGUGUAACACAGGCAGAAGCAAAAGUGUAGGCUGGAGUGCUGUUCAAUGAGCUUAUGUGCCUAUAGCUUGUAAUGGAUAAAUCAUACACCUGAUCCAUAACAAGGUGUAUGACUUAUCCAGUUUUAACCUUUAUUGAGUGAUUGAUCACAUGGAGAAAACCCAUAUUUUAGGGGCUAAUGAUGUAGUACAUACUAUCAUGUAAUAAUCAGGAGGGGGAUUUAGAGCAGAGAAGUGUGAUCAACCCUUUCUUCAUUCACUAUUUCCAUCCUUCAAACUGCUCCUAAGAGUUUCCUGCCACAGAGUUUCCCACUCCACCCCCCUCUUUGUUACAUGGACAGUUGUAAAACCACAUUUGGAGAGGGAAAUUGUUUAUUGGGCCUGUGCAAAGCGUUGGCUGAAGCGAAAUACUCUGCACUGUCCUGCUGGCACCAAGCAGAGAUGGCAACCCAUUGUAAACUGCCACGAGGCACUUGUUUUUGGCAGGUUAGAAAUGUGCUAAAUAAUAAAUAAAUAAAAUAUUUCAUGAACAGUG